GACGAACGCUGGCGGCGUGCUUAACACAUGCAAGUCGAACGGAAAGGCCCUGCUUUUGUGGGGUGCUCGAGUGGCGAACGGGUGAGUAACACGUGAGUAACCUGCCCUUGACUUUGGGAUAACUUCAGGAAACUGGGGCUAAUACCGGAUAGGAGCUCCUGCUGCAUGGUGGGGGUGGAAAGGUUCGGCGGGUGGGGAUGGACUCGCGGCUUUUCAGCUUGUUGGUGGGGGAGUGGCUUACCAAGGCUUUGACGGGUAGCCGGCCUGAGAGGGUGACCGGCCACAUUGGGACUGAGAUACGGCCCAGACUCCUACGGGAGGCAGCAGUGGGGAAUAUUGCACAAUGGGCGGAAGCCUGAUGCAGCAACGCCGCGUGCGGGAUGACGGCCUUCGGGUUGUAAACCGCUUUCGCCUGUGACGAAGCGUGAGUGACGGUAAUGGGUAAAGAAGCACCGGCUAACUACGUG
rnacentral:rRNA from 1 species